UUAAUAGAAGCCAAAAUUGAGGCUUUUCAUUGUUAAUGAAAUAAUUGAAUUCAUUUCCUAUUAAA
rnacentral:tRNA from 1 species